CGGGGUGAGUAACACGUGGAUAACCUACCUAUAAGACUGGGAUAACUUCGGGAAACCGGAGCUAAUACCGGAUAAUAUUUUGAACCGCAUGGUUCAAAAGUGAAAGACGGUCUUGCUGUCACUUAUAGAUGGAUCCGCGCUGCAUUAGCUAGUUGGUAAGGUAACGGCUUACCAAGGCAACGAUGCAUAGCCGACCUGAGAGGGUGAUCGGCCACACUGGAACUGAGACACGGUCCAGACUCCUACGGGAGGCAGCAGCG
rnacentral:rRNA from 1 species